AAGAGAGAGACAUGCGCGCAUAUCAAUAAGCGGAGGAAAAGAAACUAACAAGGAUUCCCCUAGUAACGGCGAGUGAAGCGGGAAGAGCUCAAAUUUGAAAUCUUAAAGGGUUUCCCUUUACGAAUUGUAGUUUAAAGAAGUGUUUUCUGUUGAGGUUUGGUAAAAGUUCUUUGGAAUAGGACAUCAUAGAGGGUGAGAAUCCCGUAUUUGACCUUUACUUUCAACUUUGUGAUACACUUUCAAAGAGUCGGAUUGUUUGGGAAUGCAGUCCAAAAUGGGUGGUAAAUUUCAUCUAAAGCUAAAUAUUGGCGAGAGACCGAUAGCGAACAAGUACCGUGAGGGAAAGAUGAAAAGAACUUUGAAAAGAGAGUUAAACAGUACGUGAAAUUGUCAAAAGGGAAGCGUUUGACACCAGUGUUGUUUUUCUGAAAAUCAAUUAAAGAACUGUUUAUGCUAAGUUGUUUAGACUUUAUCAGCUAACUGUUUAGUUUUGAGCUUUUCUUUAAUGCACUUUUCAGUUAACAAGUCAACAUCAAUUUCUUUUGCUGUAAAAAAGCUUGAGGAAGGUGGCUUGAGAUUCGUCUUAAGUGUUUAUAGCCUCUUGCCUAUGCAGUCGGAGAGAUUGAGGUCUGCAGCGUAGAUCCUUCGGGGCUAAAUGCAUUUGUGCUAAGUUAUAGCAUUUUAUAGACAACUUGUUGACUAUGAUUUGUCUUGUAGCUUACUCGCUUAUGUUAUUUUACCUACGCUUAGGAUGUUGAGCGCAUGUCUCUCUCU
rnacentral:rRNA from 1 species